UAUUUUACUAUACCGAUCACAUCCUAUUUCAUGAGAUUUUUGAAAAUUUUGCUUCCUCUAUAUAGUUGGCUCACAAAGUUGUACACUAGCAUAUAACCUACCAAACAAGUUAUACCACAUUAGUAGGCACGUUAUAAUUCCGAUGACUAAAAUUCACAAAAUAAAAAUUGACCGUAUGAUGUGAUCAUUAUAGUGAAACAUGGCUAUGGUAUAAAAUUUAACUGGAUUCAACAAUGUUCGGGGCUCGAUCAAAGCGGUCAACCCUAAUUUAUUUUUACUUCUCACACGAAAACUAUCUUACCUACCUCUUCGUGACCUAGUUUGGUGGAUUUUUCAACACAAAAAAGUGUCACAUAGAUGAGACAUAACCACCCAUGUAAAACUUUGGGACCGUUUACCACCUGAGGAUAGGGCUCUCCUUAGUGAAGCAUAAGCGUAAAUAGGGUUGACCGUUUCGAUCGGAGCCUAAACAUUGGCGAAUUAAAGUGAUUUUUCCACCGUAGCUGUAUUUUACUAUAUCGAUCACAUCAUAUUUCACGAGAUUUUUAAAAAUUUUGCUUCCUCUAUAUAGUUGGUUCACAAAGUUGUACACUAACAUAUAACAUAUCAAACAAGUUAUAAUACUUUAGUAGGCAUGUUAUGAUUUCGAUGACUAAAAUUCACAAAAUGAAAAUUGACCGUAUAAUGUGAUCAUUAUAGUGAAACAUGGCUAUGGUAUAAAAUUCAACUGGAUUCAACAAUGUUCGGGGCUCGAUCAAAGCGGUCAACCCUAAUUCAUAUUCACUUAUCACACGAAAACUAUCUUACCUACCUCUUUGUGACCUAGUUUGGUGGAUUCUUCAACACAAUAAAGUCUCACAUAGAUGAGAUAUAACCACCCAUGUAAAACUUUGGGGACGUUUACCUCCCGAGGAUAGGGCUCUCCUUAGUGAAGCAUAAACGUAAAUAGGGUUGACCGCUUCGAUCGGGACCAAAACUUUGGUAAAUUAAAGUGAUUUUUCUACCGUAGCCAUAUUUUACUAUACCGAUCACAUCCUAUUUCACAAGAUUUUUGAAAAUUUUGCUUUCUCCAUAUAGUUCGUUCACAAAGUUGUACACUAGCAUAUAACCUACCAAACAAGUUAUACCACAUUAGUAGGUACGUUGUGAUUCAAAUUACUAAAAUUCAGACGCAGUUGUGAAGUGGGUCCCGCCUGUGGUCCGUGACAUUUUUCGGUGAAUUUUUCCGACACUGGAGCUAUUUUCUAUGCAUUUUUAAAGUUUUGAAAUGGUGGAAAAAAAAGUAAAACUUUAAUGACAUUGACAGAUUAGUGACUUAGGACGAAUGAGGUUGUAACAUGUGGCAAUUAGUGUUGAAUUUUCAGAAAAGGAAUCCCCCGAAAUGGAAACUUACCAUUUCUUUUAUAGUAGAUUUCCAUAAAUAGUAACUUUUGUUUUUAAAGCAUAAUUAUCCCCCAAAAUGGAAACUUACCCUUCCUUUUAUAGUUGAUUUCCAUAAAUAGUAACUUUUAUUUUUAGAG
rnacentral:lncRNA from 1 species